GACGAACGCUGGCGGCAUGCCUAACACAUGCAAGUCGAACGAGACGUUCGUGUCUAUGGGCGGAGGUGUGCGUAACGCGGGGGAACCUGCCCUUGGGUUCGGAAUAACUCCCCGAAGGGUGUCCUAAUACCGGAUAAUGUCUUCGGACCAAAGAUUUUUCGCCUUUGGGUGGGCGCGUGUUGGCUUAGGUGGUUGGGAGGGGAAAAGCAUACCAAGGAGACGAUCGCUGGCUGGUGGGAGAGGAUGGUCAGCAACACUGGGAAUGAGACACGGACCAGAAUCGUACGGGAGGCAGCAGUGGGGAAUACAGGGCACGGGGGGAAAGCCUGAUCCAGCAGUGCCGCGUGAGUGAUGAAGCCCUUAGUGUUGCACAGCUCUUUUACACGAGAUGAUAAUGACAGUAACGGGAGAAUAAGCUCCGGCUAACUCCGUG
rnacentral:rRNA from 1 species